UGGGUAGUCCGUACGAGCGCACCUUGUCCCUAGUUGCCAGCACUUCGGGUGGGAACUCUAGGGAGACUGCCGGUGAUAAACCGGAGGAAGGUGGGGAUGACGUCAAGUCAUCAUGGCCCUUAUGGGGAGGGCUACACACGUGCUACAAUGGCCGGUACAGAGGGCGGCGAAGCCGCGAGGUGGAGCGAAUCUCAGAAAACCGGUCGUAGUCCGGAUUGCAGUCUGCAACUCGACUGCAUGAAGCCGGAAUCGCUAGUAAUCGCGGAUCAGAACGCCGCGGUGAAUACGUUCCCGGGCCUUGUACACACCGCCCGUCACACCAUGGGAGUGGGCUGUACCAGAAGUAGGUAGUCUAACCUUCGGGAGGACGCUUACCACGGUGUGGUUCAUGACUGGGGUGAAGUCGUAACAAGGUAGCCCUAGGGGAACCUGGGGCUGGAUCACCUCCUUU
rnacentral:rRNA from 1 species